AUUGAACGCUGGCGGCAGGCCUAACACAUGCAAGUCGAGCGAGCGGCGGACGGGUAAGUAAUGUAUGGGGACUGCCCGAUAGAGGGGGAUAACUACUGUAAACAGUAGCUAAUACCGCAUACUAUCGGAUAACCCAUAUGGGAUGAGCUAGUAGGUGAGGUACUGGCUCCCCACGGCGACGAUCCCUAGCUGGUCUGAGAGGAUGAUCAGCGACACUGGGACUGAGACACGGCCCAGACUCCUACGGAGGAAGCAGUGGGGAAUAUGGCAAACUUGGAGGAAGCCUGAUGCAGCCAUGCCGCGUGUAUGAAGCAGGCCCUAGGGUUGUAAAGUACUUGCAGUCGGGAGGCGUUACCGACAGAAGAAGCACCGGCUAACUCCGGGCCAGCAGCCGCGGUAAUUC
rnacentral:rRNA from 1 species